rnacentral:rRNA from 1 species
GAUGAACGCUGGCGGCGUGCCUAAUACAUGCAAGUCGAGCGAACGGACGAGAAGCUUGCUUCUCUGAUGUUAGCGGCGGACGGGUGAGUAACACGUGGAUAACCUACCUAUAAGACUUGGAUACCUUCGGGAAACCGGAGCUAAUACCGGAUACUAUUUUUAACCGCAUGGUUCAAGAGUGAAAGACGGUCUUGCUGUCACUUAUCGAUGGAUCAGCGCUGCAGUAGCUAGUUGGUAAGGUAACGGCUUACCAAGGCAACGAUGGAUAGCCGACAUGUGAGGGUGACGGCCGACACAGGGACUGAGCCACGACCCAGAGACCGACGGAAGGCCGCAGUAGCGAAGCGUCGGCAAUGGGCGGAAGCCUGACGGAGCGAUGCCGCGUGAAUGAUGAAGGGCCGCGGACCGUAAAACUCUGUUAUGAGGGAAGAACAUAUGCGUAAGUAACUGUGCACAUCUUGACGGUACCUAGUAAGAAAGCACCGGCUAACUACGUG